rnacentral:rRNA from 1 species
UACGUAGGGUGCGAGCGUUGUCCGGAAUUAUUGGGCGUAAAGGGCUCGUAGGCGGUUUGUCGCGUCGGGAGUGAAAACACCGGGCUUAACUCGGUGCUUGCUUUCGAUACGGGCAGACUAGAGGCAUGCAGGGGAGAACGGAAUUCCUGGUGUAGCGGUGAAAUGCGCAGAUAUCAGGGGGAACACCGGUGGCGAAGGCGGUUCUCUGGGCAUGUCCUGACGCUGAGGAGCGAAAGUGUGGGGAGCGAACAGG